rnacentral:ncRNA from 1 species
GUCUAAGCGAACAGACAAAAAUAGAAAAGCCUCCUAAAUCUGUGAAUUGAACGCAUAACUCCUAAAUUCUUUAUCUGUAUGUGCAGCAGGUGAGGAAUUUUAGGUGUUUUCGC